UACGGAGGGUGCGAGCGUUGUCCGGAAUUAUUGGGCGUAAAGAGCUCGUAGGCGGUCUGUUGCGUCAGGAGUGAAAACUUGGGGCUUAACCCCGAGCCUGCUUCUGAUACGGGCAGACUAGAGGUAUGCAGGGGAGAACGGAAUUCCUGGUGUAGCGGUGAAAUGCGCAGAUAUCAGGAGGAACACCGGUGGCGAAGGCGGUUCUCUGGGCAUUACCUGACGCUGAGGAGCGAAAGUGUGGGGAGCGAACAGG
rnacentral:rRNA from 1 species